CCCUGGGUGGUGUAAAUGGUUAACAUGUUGGGCUGCUAACCGAAAGGUUGGUAGUUCAAGCCCACCCAGAGGGG
rnacentral:tRNA from 1 species